rnacentral:tRNA from 1 species
UAGGUAAAAGUUCGCUGGAUUGGACGCUUAGCUGUUAACUAAGUUUUUACAGGAUCGAGGCCUGUUUAUCUAG